GCCUUCGUGGUGUAGCGGUCAGCACACUCGGCGCGUACUCAAGAGAUUCGUGGUUCGAGUCCCGGCAAGGGCA
rnacentral:tRNA from 1 species